CUUAAGAUAUGUUUUGCUGAUGUGGCGGAGCAAAUCCAGAUUUGCCAGGUGGAUUGCCUAGUUCCAUGCUCUCUGCUUGCAAUAUAAUAGCAUGAUUAUAAUACAAGAUGACAAAUAAAAUAGUGAUGAGAUAAGAUCAACACUUGGAAGAUGAAGAGGAAGAUGGAACCAUAAUAACUUCAUCAUCAUCAUGUUUUUCAGCUGAGUCCGAGUCCGAGUCUUCCACUCUGAACUGAGCUCGCUUGCUUGCUCUCUGUUUUCAGUGAUUAAAUGGGGCUGUGCAGAUUUGGAAGAUUGGUUGAAGGGGUCGGAGUUAGCAGGAGGAGGCCAUUUGCAACCUCCUCCUCCUCCUCUGCCGCCGGCGGUGAUGAAAUGAUUGUUCGUGGCACUGGCAGCAAGUCGUUGAACCUCUACUCUGCCAUCAACCAAGCGCUCCACAUCGCCUUGGAAACUGAUCCACGUUCUUAUGUAUUUGGAGAAGAUGUGAGCUUUGGUGGGGUCUUCCGUUGCACAACAGGCUUAGCUGAUCGCUUCGGUAAACAAAGGGUUUUUAACACCCCUCUUUGUGAACAGGGCAUUGUAGGAUUCGGCAUUGGUCUAGCAGCUAUGGGUAAUCGAGCUGUAGCAGAAAUCCAAUUCGCAGAUUAUAUUUUUCCAGCUUUUGAUCAGAUUGUCAAUGAAGCUGCAAAGUUCCGAUAUAGAAGUGGAAAUCAAUUUAAUUGUGGAGGUUUAACAAUUAGAACCCCCUAUGGAGCUGUUGGCCACGGUGGACAUUAUCACUCACAGUCUCCUGAAGCUUUCUUCUGUCAUGUCCCUGGUCUCAAAGUGGUCAUCCCUCGAAGCCCACUGCAAGCAAAAGGCUUAUUGCUGUCGUGCAUACGCGAUCCAAAUCCUGUUGUGUUCUUCGAACCAAAGUGGUUAUACAGAUUAUCAGUCGAAGAGGUUCCUGAGCAUGAUUACAUGUUGCCUUUAUCGGAGGCAGAGGUAAUUCGAGAGGGCACCGAUAUAACACUUGUUGGUUGGGGAGCUCAAUUAUCUGUAAUGGAACAGGCCUGUAAAGAAGCUGAGAGUGAUGGAAUUUCUUGUGAACUGAUAGACCUGCGAACCCUUUUACCUUGGGACAAGUACACAGUGGAGGCCUCCGUCAGAAAGACGGGAAGGCUUCUUAUAAGUCAUGAAGCGCCAGUUACUGGAGGAUUUGGUGCUGAAAUAUCCGCUUCAAUUGUUGAACGCUGCUUCCUAAGGGUUGUGGAGACAGCUGAUAACUUGAUCUGUGAGCUCUUGUAUAGUUAGAAGCGCCUGUUGCAAGAGUAUGCGGUUUGGAUACCCCCUUCCCUCUCGUCUUCGAGCCCUUCUACAUGCCCACCAAAAACAAGAUAUUGGAUGCAAUCAAAUCAACUGUAAAUUUCUAGUGUAAAAGCAAAAGCAAGUCUGCUUCCUUCUUUCUCCACCUAACUUUGUUUUCCUAGUCUAGGUGUAAUCAGUCCAUUUAUCAUCUGAUCUUGCACACGACGGAGUGAGGAAAUAAACUUUUCGGUCCUUCCUCGAUCUAUUCCAGUAUGUAAAAGAACCCAGCAAUCUAUGGUUCCGAAUUGGAUAGUGAA